GGAGUGGUGGCCGAGUGGUCGAAGGCGCACGCCUGGAAAGUGUGUAGGGGCUAACCGCCUCUCGUGGGUUCGAAUCCCACCCGCUCCG
rfam:Zymomonas mobilis subsp. mobilis ZM4, complete genome.